rnacentral:rRNA from 1 species
UACGAAAGGGGCUUGUGUUAUUCGGUCAAAUUGGGCGUAAAGGAUUCUAAUGCUGUUUUUUGAACGUUAAAAAUUAAAUGUCAAAGCUAACCUUGGAAUAGUUUUUAAAACCAAAAUUCUGGAGUAGUUUACGGGUUAUUAGUAUUUCUUCAAUAAGGGUCAAAUCUGUUAAUAGAAGAAGGAGGACCUAGGGCGAAGGCAAAUAACCGGUUUCUUACUGACGCAAAGGAAUUAAAGUAUGGGGAGCGAACAGG